ensembl:lincRNA Gm26916 predicted gene, 26916
GAUUUCUUCCCUAUGAAAAGUAGUGGGAAAAGUUAUAUACAAUUAAAGUAAUCUUAAGGAGUUUUCUAUUGCUGUGAAGAGAUAUCAUGCUUAAGUAACAAAUGCUUACCUCAGUGGCCCACAGAGAUUUGUAAAAGAGGCAAUACCAUUAUCAUAUAAAAGCUUUAAAUUUUGGGGCUGGAGAGAUGGCUCAGUGGCUAAGAGCACUGACUGAUCUUCCAAAUGUCCGGAGUUCAAUUCCCAGCAACCACAUGGUGGCUCACAACCAUCCGUAACGAGAUCU